UACGAAGGGGGCUAGCGUUGUUCGGAAUCACUGGGCGUAAAGCGCACGUAGGCGGAUCUUUAAGUCAGGGGUGAAAUCCUGGAGCUCAACUCCAGAACUGCCUUUGAUACUGAGGAUCUUGAGUUCGGGAGAGGUGAGUGGAACUGCGAGUGUAGAGGUGAAAUUCGUAGAUAUUCGCAAGAACACCAGUGGCGAAGGCGGCUCACUGGCCCGAUACUGACGCUGAGGCACGAAAGCGUGGGGAGCAAACAGG
rnacentral:rRNA from 1 species